rnacentral:rRNA from 1 species
AUUGAACGCUGGCGGCAUGCCUUACACAUGCAAGUCGAACGGUAACAGGUUAAGCUGACGAGUGGCGAACGGGUGAGUAAUGUAUCGGAACGUGCCCAGUCGUGGGGGAUAACUGCUCGAAAGAGCAGCUAAUACCGCAUACGACCUGAGGGUGAAAGCGGGGGAUCGCAAGACCUCGCGCGAUUGGAGCGGCCGAUAUCAGAUUAGGUAGUUGGUGAGGUAAAGGCUCACCAAGCCGACGAUCUGUAGCUGGUCUGAGAGGACGACCAGCCACACUGGGACUGAGACACGGCCCAGACUCCUACGGGAGGCAGCAGUGGGGAAUUUUGGACAAUGGGCGCGAGCCUGAUCCAGCCAUGCCGCGUGCGGGAAGAAGGCCUUCGGGUUGUAAACCGCUUUUGUCAGGGAAGAAAAGGUUCUGGCUAAUACCUGGGACUCAUGACGGUACCUGAAGAAUAAGCACCGGCUAACUACGUG